rnacentral:rRNA from 1 species
GGCCAUUGCUAUCGGAGUCCGAUUUAGCCAUGCUAGUCGCACGGGUUUAGACCCGUGGCGGAAAGCUCAGUAACACGUGGUCGAACUGCCCUGUGGAUCGGAAUAACCUCGGGAAACUGAGGCUAAUUCCGAAUACAGCUCCCACGCUUGAAUGCCGGGAGCUGGAAACGUUCCGGCGCCACAGGAUGUGACUGCGGCCGAUUAGGUAGACGGUGGGGUAACGGCCCACCGUGCCGAUAAUCGGUACGGGUUGUGAGAGCAAGAGCCCGGAGACGGUAUCUGAGACAAGAUACCGGGCCCUACGGGGCGCAGCAGGCGCGAAACCUUUACACUGCACGACAGUGCGAUAGGGGGACUCCGAGUGCGAGGGCAUACAGUCCUCGCUUUUCUGUACCGUAAGGUGGUACAGGAACAAGUGCUGGGCAAGACCGGUGCCAGCCGCCGCGGUAAUACCGGCAGCACGAGUGAUGGCCGAUCUUAUUGGGCCUAAAGCGUCCGUAGCUGGCCAGACAAGUCCGUUGGGAAAUCCACGCGCUCAACGCGUGGGCGUUCAGCGGAAACUAUCUGCUUGGGCCCGAAGACCCCAGGGGUACCUCCG